GCGAGAGCCUGCCGAGAGAAGCGGCAGACAGGAGGGAAAUCUGGCACAAGGGCUGAAAUCAGGCACAACGGCUGGGAGAGAAAACUUGACGCUUCUGGGCCACCAUUUGAAAGGGCCUCGUUCGAGACGACGAAAGGAGCCUGGUUGUGUACUGCGGCCGCCCUGUGACUGGAUCUUGUCUUCUGGCCCGCGCUUCUGGAUUUGGGGGCGACACUGCCUAGCGCAGGAGGAGAGCACAAAUGACUCUACAAAGAAGCAAAAAAUGAAUAGACAACCCCACCAACCAAAGACCGGGGGCAGCAGCACGCCAGCAAGAAGGCAUCUUCUCUUUCCCAGCCUAGAAGCCCUGUGAAAUCGAGGAUCUUCCCCCUAAAACACACACACACAAGAUAUUGCAAUCGAGCUGCCACCGCUUGGUAAAAAGCCCAUGGUGCCUAACCAAAAAGGAUCAGGAGCAGAUCCUUGAAUCAGCUGUCACUUCUAUAGAAUGGGAUGCUUUUUUUUCCUUCCUCUUUAACCUGCACUGGAAAUUGCCGUUGGCUUCAUACAUCUCCAUAGAGGGAGGCUAAGGAGUCUUGCGUGAGAAUGAAGCAAUUUACAAUGCAAAUAGAGGCUUCUGAAGGGACGGAUACUGCUGCUCACUCAUAACCGCUUGCUGCACCUUAAUAGCUGGUUUUAUUUUCUGAUAUUAAUAGAUGAAUUGUUGGCUAACGCUGCCGGAGAUUACUUGCUGAAAAGGGGGAAAAAGUUCGGAAUAAACUUUCAAAGCAACAGAUCUCGUUUGGAUGUUUUAGCCGCACACACAAACAGAAACCAGGUCAUAUUUACAUACAAGGAGGAAUCUUAAGCGCGGCAAGUGUCCUGGAGGACUACUCUUCGGUACUGCCAGAAAGAUCGGGAUCUGGAUUCAGGCCAGAGGAAGACAGAGGCAUGUGAGGGAAGCGAGUUGUUAUCUUUGGUUAUCUAGCUGUAUGAGUGUAUUGGUCUUCAUAAAGCUAGAUAACCGAAAGUAAAAACUCCUUCAAGAUCGCCGGGGAGCAUGUGAGAAUGAAAGACUACAACCAAGAGACAGUAAAAACCAGAAAGGUCAGGAAUACUUAUUGAAUCUAACUUUGUUUUCGUUUUUGUUUUCUUUAUGAUUAAAGGUUGGAUUAGAGGAAAUUAAGUGACAUACAUAUGCUAAAAUAUAAAGGUGCCAAGUAUUUUGAGAGGGGUUGUUAUAAGGGAGAAUUGUAUAGUGCUAAUGAGUAAAGAGGCGUGUGCAGCUCGUCCUACUGAAAAGCAAAGUUCAAAUAUGAGGGGUUUUUUUUUUCCCUUUCUUAGAAAGCUGUUGUAGAUAUGACUGGUACCUAGUUUUAAAAUGAUUUCAUAUUAUGUAGAUUUAGGCUGUUCUCUUCUGA